GACGAACGCUGGCGGCGUGCUUAACACAUGCAAGUCGAACGGAAAGGCCCCCAUCUUGGUGGGGGUGCUCGAGUGGCGAACGGGUGAGUAACACGUGGGUGAUCUGCCCUUUACUUCGGGAUAAGCUUGGGAAACUGGGUCUAAUACCGGAUAGGACCAUGGUUUAGUGUCUCAUGGUGGAAAGAUUAUUGUUUUGGUGCAGGAUGAGCUCGCGGCCUAUCAGCUUGUUGGUGGGGUAAUGGCCUACCAAGGCGUCGACGGGUAGCCGGCCUGAGAGGGUGGACGGCCACAUUGGGACUGAGAUGCGGCCCAGACUCCUACGGGAGGCAGCAGUGGGGAAUAUUGCACAAUGGGCGCAAGCCUGAUGCAGCGACGCCGCGUGGGGGAUGACGGCCUUCGGGUUGUAAACUCCUUUCGUUAGGGACGAAGCCGCACUUUUUUUGGGUGUGGUGACGGUACCUUUGUUAAGAAGCACCGGCUAACUACGUG
rnacentral:rRNA from 1 species